AUACUAAGGCAUUAAUAUCUAUUAAAGAAAAUACAUUUAACUGUGUGCUCAAGUAAACCAAAGAUAUCUGGUAAUUUCAGAAACCAACUCUGGAGUGAAGAUGAAGAAUCAAUUGUAUUGGAUCCAGAUAACGAGCUGUGGGGUGGGGUUUCUUUGAUAAGCAACCUCAUAAUCAGGCCAAAUGCUCCAUGUGUGAUGAACGGCUUAGGCGGGAUGCACUGUACAAACAUUUUAAAGAAAAACAUUCUAAAAUCUCCGAGUGCAACCUAGAGAUGACGUUAAGUAUAUUGAACCGAAUAAAAACCAAAGUAAGGACGAUGUGGAAAUUGAAACUUUGGAAAAUAUAUCACAGGAUUACUGAAAGGUGUACCUAGGGCAGCGAGUUCAAAGCUACAAAUGGAAAUUGUGACGUUGAUGACAUUGAAUGAAUGAAUACAAAAAUUAAUUUACAUCAGAUAUAGACAGA